CCUCUUGUAGCUCAGUGUGUAGAGCACUGGUCCGCAAAACCAAGGGCCUGAGUUCGAUUCCCGACGAGGGCG
rnacentral:tRNA from 1 species